rnacentral:rRNA from 1 species
UCGGCUCAGUAACACGUGGACAACCUGCCCAAAGGUCCGGGAUAACCCCGGGAAACUGGGGAUAAUACCGGAUAAGUCACAAGUACUGGAAGGUCUUGUGGUUGAAACUUCCGGGGCCUUUGGAUGGGUCUGCGGCGGAUUAGGUUGUUGCCGGUGUAACGUACCGUCAAGCCUGUAAUCCGUACGGGUUGUGGGAGCAAGAGCCCGGAGAUGGAUUCUGAGACACGAAUCCAGGCCCUACGGGGCGCAGCAGGCGCGAAAACUCUACAAUGCAGGCAACUGCGAUAGGGGAACAUCGAGUGAUACUCAUAUUGGGUGUCUGUCCACCCGUCUAAAAAACGGGUGUUAGCAAGGGCCGGGCAAGACCGGUGCCAGCCGCCGCGGUAAUACCGGCGGCUCGAGUGGUGGCCGAUAUUAUUGAGUCUAAAGGGUCCGUAGCCGGCUUUGCAAGUCUUUUGGGAAAUCCAGCGGCUUAACCGUUGGUCGUCCGGGAGAUACUACAUUGCUUGGGACUGGGAGAGGUAGGAGGUACUCAGGGGGUAGGAGUGAAAUCCUGUAAUCCUUUGGGGACCACCGGUGGCGAAGGCGUCCUACCAGAACAGGUCCGACGGUGAGGGACGAAAGCUAGGGGCACGAACCGGAUUAGAUACCCGGGUAGUCCUAGCCGUAAACGAUGCUCGCUAGGUGUCACAACAAUCGUGAAUUGUUGUGGUGCCGUAGGGAAGCCGUGAAGCGAGCCACUUGGGAAGUACGACCGCAAGGUUGAAACUUAAAGGAAUUGGCGGGGGAG